rnacentral:lncRNA from 1 species
CUUGAGUUAAGUUGAGUAUCCUUGAGUUGAGUUGAGUAUUCUUGAGUCAUAUUGAGUUGAGACGAGGUAAGUAUCUCUUCCCUUUUAUUAGAUUGAGUUUAUACUUAUGUUGCAAAGUUUCCCUUACAUGCUCGUACAUUCCAUAUACUGACGCCAUUUGUCCUGCGUCAUUUUAUAAUGCACAUACAAGUAUUCAGGAUCAUUAACAUUCAUUUCGUUGAGGUCAUGUGGUAUUCCAGUCAGCUGUGGUGAGCCUUUUUGUAUUCCGGAGGACUUCAUCUUUACCUUCAGUUAGCAGUUUUGAGAUGUCGUGGGUCUUGUCCCGAUAUCCUUAUAUAAUAGUACAGGUUUCAUAGAUAGACAGAUUUAAGGAGUUUUCUGUAUUUACUUUCUUUUGAGUUAUUUUACAAACUCUGAGUAUAUAUGUUGAGUAUUG